CACAGCUUCACCAGAAGAUAGCCCUGCCUACCAACACACUGCAGCAGUCACAUCCAAGCAUCACAUGUGGACUGGGUGCCAGCCCUUCCCAUCAGCUCACCACAACAGUAGUCACUGUGCCUCAUAGUGGUACCAGGCACCAGCCCUGCCCACCAACAUUCUACAGCAGUUGUGAUCGUUCCGUUCCCUGCAGCCAGGUUGGGCACCAACACCACCCACGAAGGUGUCACAAUAGUUGCGGCCAUGUGUCACAGCCAGGUCAGGCAAGAGCUCCACCCAAUCCCUGCACAGCAUCCAUGCUCCUGCCACAUAAGGAGGGCUCAUGCAGCUCACAUAGAGGACAUCCCUUGAGUGCCUGACUCAGGAGGCCAGGGGGAUUGCACUUCUGGGCCCCACAGGAUAUCUCCUACUUAAGCCCACUCCCUCAAGACUGAAAGAGGUGCUCCCUGUCAUCCUUUCUCAUUCAGUCUGCAGGGUCCUUCAGCAAGUGCCCAUCACAGUGAACAAAUUCUUUGAGGGGAAAAAUGAAGUGCAAAGAGAUGAAAGACCUUGUCCAAGAUGCCUGUAAGUGGUGGAGACAGGAUAAGGCUCCAGAUAGGCUGGCUUCAGGGUCUGCAUACUAACCAUUGAUGUCAACUCCUCAGCAUUUCUGGUCUGCACUGCAUGAGCCUGAAAGCCCUCAGGAUCAGGGAAAAGCUGAACAUAACCUCAGGAAAACCACAGAUAUCUAGUGGAAGACCGUCUAUGUCAGAUGGAAACAGAUCCACGGAGAGGAAGAACAAAGCUACGCCCUGACCAACAAUUAAAAUAACUAUAUCCAGUCAGUAAAGAGACUCGCUAUUUUCUUUUUUCACUGGAAGCAUUAGAAUCUAGAAGAGUUGGGGAAAGGAGAGAGCUUCAGAUAGGUUUUAAAUUUGACAUAUUAAACAGGAUUGUAUUAUGUUCUCAUAAUUGAAACUUAUUAGAAGAGUUAUGAAAUUGAGCCAAAAUUUCACUGGUAUAGGAAAAGAUGAUUUAGAGAAUCAUAGUUAACAGCAGUCAUUUAAAAUAAAUGGAAAGGGUUUUUAUGUUUCCUCACACUCUAGAAUGUCAGCUCAAUGAGAACAGUGAUUCUACUUUGUUAGUUCUGUUUUAUACAUUUCUAGAACAGUGCCUGUGCCUAGUAAAUCUUUAUUAAUGUUUGUUGAAUGAAUGGG
rnacentral:lncRNA from 1 species